GGGGAAUAUUGCACAAUGGGCGCAAGCCUGAUGCAGCAACGCCGCGUGAGUGAAGAAGGCCUUCGGGUCGUAAAGCUCUGUCCUAUGGGAAGAAAAAAAUGACGGUACCAUAGGAGGAAGCCCCGGCUAACUACGUGCCAGCAGCCGCGGUAAUACGUAGGGGGCAAGCGUUAUCCGGAAUCACUGGGCGUAAAGGGUGCGUAGGUGGUUCUUCAAGUCAGAAGUGAAAGGCAAUGGCUUAACCAUUGUAAGCUUUUGAAACUGAGGGACUUGAGUGCAGGAGAGGUAAGUGGAAUUCCUAGUGUAGCGGUGAAAUGCGUAGAUAUUAGGAGGAACACCAGUGGCGAAGGCGACUUACUGGACUGAUACUGACACUGAGGCACGAAAGCGUGGGGAGCGAAC
rnacentral:rRNA from 1 species